AAUUAAUGGUAUUUUAUAUAUUAUGAACAAUAGUGCAAGGAGCAGCAAUCCAAUAAACAGAAAGAUUUCAUAUAUUUAAUCAACUCGGUUGCAUUACAUGGAACACAAUCUGAAAAAGAUAGUACAUGAUCUCCUACAUAUUAAGCAUGAAAAUGACAUUGUAUAAGGUAAAUCUAAAACUAUCUUGUAUUAGCCCCAUUCUACACCUUUCCUAUCAACAACUUAGCCAUGCAUCAUCUUCGUCUUCAUCACCCUUCAUGCUGGAUGACAAGCUUCUCUAUGAACUUCCCGAGGAUGCCUUCUAUGACAUUGUUAUAGCAUGAACGACCACCACCCUGCCCAUUGUUCAGUACUGGAACUGACUGGCAGUGCGCCACUACAACAGAUUAAAUAGACAAAGUGAAAAUUCAGCAUGAGGAGAUGGAAGCCACAUGUACCACUUAAAUAUUCUAGGAUUGAUUAUUUAUAGAACGAACGCUCACAUCAGUUCAGUGUACUAUAAAUGACCAAGAAAAUCCUUGUCAUUCCUUAUUCCUAGCAGAUGCUCGAUUUAAUUGUAACAAGAAUGUAUAACUGUGUACUAGGCGUGCCACUCUGUUAGGCACUCCUAUUUUUUCCCUCAACAUUUUUCUUCUCUUUUGCCAUAUGUCGCAAGCGAAACACAUAUAUUAAGAUCAUAUAUCCAAUAUAUAGACAUUCAUGUCGUAAUUAACAUGGUUCCCUCUUAGUACAAAAAGAGAAGUCUCAUCCUAAGAUCAAAGAUUAGUGACAUUAAGGCAUCUAGAUUAUAGUAUACACAAAAACUGUAAAUUGUAUACUGCAAUUGGAUAGCUGCAAGUAACAGCCCCAAAACUGGGUUAUCAAUUUUUGAGCUGUUAUUCCUUCCUGGCACUCAUUUUCAAAAUUUUCUCCUGAGUUUGCUGGAUGACUCUGAGAAAUUUUUGCCAUUUCCAACCUUUCAAAACCAUGCUAUGUCUUUUUCAGUGGGCAAGACCUCAUUUGCCUCAGCUCAAACCCUCUCAAACCCUAAUUCUAAAUUAUUGGAAUUUAAAGAUGGACUUUGUGAUUACAAAGGAGCUAUCAUUUUCCUUGAGCUGUUGAUCAUCCCAUCUGUCCCUGAGAACCUCCUAUCCUUGUAAACCUUGCAUAUGCAAAAAUAUUGCCAAGUCCCAUGCAAUAUUUUUGAAUUAUGAUUUAUUCAUUUUCUUGCUUUUCUGAGGGAUAAAAUCCAAAGGCAUAUCUAGCCAUCUCCAAAAUUCAUGAGAAUUGGUGGAGUUGAUAUUUAUGUCUAACACAAGCUCUGGCAAAGAUAUUUGCCAUAAUUAAAUAUGGAAAAAUGUCUUUUCCUAUUCAAUACCAAUAUUGCAUUUCUGCCACUUCCUAAAGGAACUACUAUUUUUAUAGCAGGAAAAUUCUCACAUAAAUUGUGGAGCUUGCCCUUGCUAUAUAAUCACAAGUUCCAUCCUUGUUCCAUGUUCCAUAGUUCAAAAUUUUGGCACAUGAUCCAAUGCAAGUUUCUGCCUUCUCUGAAAUUUUGCAAAGGAAGUGCUUUAUUCCUAAUUACAAUUGAGCUGCAAUUUGGUAGGGUGAUUAACCUUCAUAAAUCACACAUGAAUACCAAAGAUGAGCUCAAUCCAUUCAUCUUAGCUCCCUGUGCAAUUUUCCAAAGUUUCUGACCAGAAUGUAACUUUGUGAAGGAAGUACCUUCAUAGAGUUUUCAAAUGGGAUGAAACUUUUUCAUCCUCUCAAGUAUUCCAAAUCAUUAGCCUCCACCUAAAUUCAGUUCAAUUCAUUGAACUAUGAGAGCAUAUGAGCAAUUCUUGGUUUCUGUCCAAAUUUUCAGUUUGUGAAGCAAGUUUAUUUUAUCUUGCUCCAUUAUGGCUGAAAAUAUUCCUAAGCCUUCUCCUCUCCAUACAACCUAUCUCCAACCAAUUUUGGCUCAUUUCAUGUAGCCAGUAUUUUCUUGGAUUUUUCCAAAGUUUCUAGUCAGAUCUGAUGCUUGUGAAACAAGUACCAAUUUGGCAAGUCCAUUUGGUAUGAUCUUUUUGCAGCAUCUACAUAUGACCAAAUAAGGAAGCUUUGCCAAGUUUUAGCCCAAUCCAUCACUCCUAGUGAAUACGCUUUCCAAGUCAGAAAACGUAUUCCCUGGGCACUUCGGCUCAAAAUGCUUUUCCCUGUGCGGAAAACGUAUUCGGCCCAAAGGCACGUUCAGUUUUUCCUCCAGGGGCCUGUUUGCUGAAAAAAUUUCACCGAUAGGUCCCUGAGCUUCAACCCUCCGUAUCUUUUUACCAGUAGCUCCAAAUUAGGUGAUUCCAAAGACCACGUCUUUGUUUUGUCGAGCCCGUUCUGAUGGAAUCAUUUUCACCAUGUUUGCACAUUCUGAAAAUGACCAUUUUGCCCUUGCCCGUAAACAGCCCCCUCCAAGAGAGAACUGUUUCCGGCAAAUCUUUCCGCGAUCGUUCCGCACUUUUUCCGGUGUAAUCCUCAACCCCAGGCAAGCCAACCUCUUAUCACGAGCCCCGAACUCGCAUGUUGACUUUGCUGGCACCUCGCGUGUGUGCUUAGUUGCAGUAGUUUUUGUCUGUUUCGUCUGCCGUUAUUUCAGUUGUGAUAUAUGUUAGUACUGCUUGCUUACCUCUCAUGAUAGCUUUUUCCAUGCUAGUUAUAUUGUUGUUGAUAAUAUCAUGCUUCUGUCUAGUUUAGUUCAUGCCAGUAGUCUUGAUGUUAUGAUGAUUUUGUUGCACCUUCAAUAAGCUAGUAUCUAGUAUUGUUAUGUUUCAUAUGCUAUAACUGUUCACUUGAGUAGCUUGAUAUUUGUUAAUGCAUUUGUUAGUUGCAUGUUCAUUGUUGCAUUCUUGUUGAAUAUGCUCAUAAUAUUGAUGAUGUUGGAGAAGUUAAUAAUAUGACUUAAUAACAAACCUCCUCCGCCAUCACUGGGAUAUCAUAGUGCCACCAAAUCGAGCUUUCUCCAGUGCAACCACAUUUACCUUGUGGGAAGGUCCUAGCUGGGUCUAGUGUCAUGCCUCUCGCCGGUGCCUCCCGCGAGGGAAGGUUAUGGGCGCGCUUACCCUGAUCAGGUAGGCGGACAUAAGCCUUGUGUGCCCGGGUUUGGUUUUGAGCUCAUGUCCUCGUUUGGGACCGUUUUUCCACGACGGUGGCCGUCGGUACCUUUGGUAGGUAUGGGGCCACCCAGGACCGAACCCUUAAGGGGUGUUGGUCGGAGUGGCCGGGAGGGCGUCAUGGCAGUAGAUCGGUUUUGUCGGAAUGCUUUGGUCCGCGUGUAUGGGAGUGCGAGACUAGGGUUCCGUGUGUGGGUAAAGUGCGCUACCUCUGCAGAGUGUAUUCAAUCUAUCGAUAGCCGCGUCCUCGGUCAUGGGUACAGGUUCGUAGUAGGUCACACUAUCGGGUCUCGGUCGAAAUGGAGGAUAAAUCAACUAAUAAAUUAUGUGAUAACUAAUGUGAUGGCUUGGACUAUGAAAUAAUCGUGAGAAGUCACGAUGAUGUGUUGAUAUGACCCCGAGACGAGGUCUCGGUAAGUCAUGAUUGUGCUCCGAGGAGCCGUGGCAGAGUAAGUGAUUGUGGCAUAAGGUUAUUACAACAUGUCUUCAUGGGAGGUAACUGGUAGUUUAUUUUCAGCAUAGUUUCAUGAUGCCAUGCCCUGUUUUGAUAUGCUAUGCUUUGCUGUUGUUAUGAUAGAAGUAAGUUUGAUAUGCCAUCAUAGUUGAUGCUAUGAUGUUGUUCAUGCCUAGUUUGAAUUAUGAUUCUAGUUAAUAUCAUGCCAUGCUUAGAAGUUGUGUUGAUGUAGACUGUUGCAUAUGCUUGGUUCUUGCUUUGUCUUCUGUUUGUUUGGAUGCUAUGUAUUUGGUUGUCUUGCAAGUACAUUCAAUGUACUGACCUGGCGUGUCAUGCCAGUUUUGUAGGUCGUUCGCUUGUUCCGUCGUGCUAGGUCGUAAUCAUGCCAGUCCUGUGCGUUAUGGAGCCCAGCCUUAAUAAGACGCUGCCAAACCAAGACUUCCGCCGCCAUUUAUAUGGACUUCCGCUGCCAUGUAAAUAGCCUUAGGGCUAUGCCAGAAAAUUGUAUUCAUCAAUGAUGUAAUCUUAUACACAUGUAUUUGAUGAAUAUUAUUGUACCUGGAAUGCUGUAUCAUGGACCUGUCGUGCGUCAGGCGUAAUCCCGGGCUGACGUGCGAAGGCCCCCUGCUCCAUGCGGAUCAGGGUGCCACAGGAGAUGGUAUCAGAGCAGCCAGGCUGGCAUAGGUUAUCCUAGCAUUAGAUCACCGCUACCAUCAACCCAUAAUGACCCUAAGGGAUUUGACCCAUCCCUGGCAUCCGUCAUGGCCACUGUUAAUCUACAGGUGGCGCAGUCGGGACCAACACGUCCUUACCCCGCUGUCCCCGCCUAGUUAUACGUGGAUUGAAUAGCAACCCUAUCCUUUCUGGUCGGCCGCACCGCGUACCCUUCACCAUUAAGGAAAAGGGGCCACACCAUGCGGGCAUGUCCCGCAUAGCCGCCUAUAAAAUCCCCCUUUCUGCUAGCCGUAUCGCUCACCCCUCAGUCAGCCAUGUCCCUGCAGAAAAGCUUAGCUAGUAGCUCCCCAGCCAUGACUAGCACCUUCAAAGCUCCCAAGUUUUACACCUGCACCUUUGCCGUCAACCACCCUGGCUUCCCACCCCUUCUUACCGAGAUGCUCACCAAAGCCUUUGGCUAUAAGGCUAGCCCCGAUUACCUGGUGUUCCAAUCGACGGCCGUCCCUCACCUUCACCGCUAUGAUGCAAGAGUGCGCAUCAGCCUAGGUCCCGCAGUAGAUGGCUAGCCUUUGGUUUUUCAGGGUAGAGCCACGCCUACCUCUGAUUUAGCCAUUCAGGCCGCUGCUGUGGAAGCUAUCCUAUACCUCUAAACCAAGAUCCCGCAAGUGGCAGAGAGGCGGGAGUUCUGCUUUUUCCCCGUGGUGACAGAAGCAGGAAUUCAGUCUUCUCCCACUAUCCAAGGAGAUGACCCCGCAAUCGCUCGCCUGGUGCAAUAUAUCACUGCCCAGGGGAUGAUGAUUUCUAAGAUGCUCGCCGAAUUUAGAACCCUGGACGACGAUGCGGUACGAGUUGUUAAGGAAGCUUACCAUGAGGCUCGUAAAUUCGCAUCUCAAGCCGUUCACCCCAUGCCAUCCGAACCAGUGCUACCCUCUUAGCCUGUGUUGUGGCCUAGACCCAACAUCAUCACCCUCGACAAGUCUCUUUUCUGGAUCCAUCAGCAGCAUCUGCUUGGAUCAAUUUUAGCCACACCUCCAGCAGUCGAACCCCAACCCAUAGUAGUGUCGGACGUUGAAGAUGGAGAUUGGCUCAGUCUUUGUCCUCCCGGAGAGCCCCAGCAAGGCCAGUCCUCUGCAUGACCUCAGUCACGCAGUGAGAUGACUCUGCGAGUAGGUCAGUCAGUCGGUUCAUCUCCGAUAUGAGGAUAGAACUAUGUAUCCUGGAGUGAGUAGUUUCGUUUAGCGCGUAGAGCGUUCGUGCUUUGUUGUACUGUUUGUAACCCGUAAUGUGUUUGUGUAUGCUUGCUUGCUUUUGAAUUUUUGUGCUUGUUUUUGUUUGUCUCUCCGUCAAACAGAGAUGUUUGACAGGGUUGGCAAUGUGUGCUAACGAGAUUUUAAUCAGUAGAUCACAUACACUAAAUAACAUUGGCUCGUCCCAAGUCUUUAAUAAAAUGCGCGCUGGUGUAGGUAUAUGUAUGCCAGGAGUACAUAUACCCACUAGCAUUAAAACACCUUAGUAUUAUUUGUCUGAUGUGUUUUUCAUUGCAUGUUUAUUGCACCUGUGUGUUGUUAGUUUAGACUGCAUUGCAUACUGCACACAUACCCGGUUCACCCACGAGUGCAUUUAGGGCAGUACUCGGGGAAAACGCAAAGUCACAUCCCUAUCUCUAUCUGUGCAUACCCCGUGUGCCAGAUUUUCCAAACACAGCGCCUCGAAGAGGCAUUUUCAUUUGGCCAUUUCUCGUCCCUAAUUCUUUUUCGUUAACCCAAUUGCAUUUUAGGAGAAACGUUGCCAGCUUUAUUUCACUCGAUCUAGUACAACCCCCCGAUACAUAUUUCAACUCCGCCUCUACCCUGACACCUACAUUUCGUGGAGCAAUCCGCGAAAUUUUCCCGUGUCCUAGUCUGAUUCCUGAGCUGGCACAUCCCCCUCACCCGCAUCCGAACCAAACCAUCACCACCGUCACCGCCUUGAGUGGCGCAGGUAGAUCGCCACCACCGUUCCACCGCAGCACGCGAUUACUCCGCCGGCGCAACACGAUGGAGGAUCAAGCGUGGCAGAGGACCACCCCGUGCACCAUCUUCUUCCACACCUCGAGCCACCGCAGCUGGCCGCGCGUUGCCUCGAGCUCGCUCAUACAUGAUGAUCAUCAGCAGGAUGAUCGACGAGCCAAUCAGAGUGCCCAGCAGUGCAGCUAGGAACCACCGCAACGCCACCAGGAACACAACCUCGCCGAAGGAGCUCGGCUCGAUUUCGUCCAAACCGAAUAGGUAGUAGAGCGGCAUUGUGUUUGUGCAUUGGAGGAGAGUCGCGCUGCCGUUUUUAUAGCCCAACUCCGGUGUACGAUGAGCGAGGUCCAGGAAAACCGCUCGUCGCUCGAUCACUGGCGUCCAGGAGGCGAAUCCGCGAGCAGUACCGACAUGGUGCUGGCCCGCGACAUGAGUGCUCGCUGCACCAGUGUCGUGCACGCCGCGCACUACGACACUAGGGUCCUCAUCGCCCUAGGAGCUAGAUGCGCGCUGCGCCAAGCCACACGCGGAGCAGCAUCAUAGGAGAAGCAACUAGCCGGAGGUAGAAGGAGCCUGCCAGUGGGCCCUGGACCCACGUGUCAGCAGGUGAAACCACUGUUCAUUGGGGUGCAUCCAGCAUUUUUCGGGAGUCUGAUCUCGAGUGCCCGUACCCGUGGAUAUAACCGUGUUUGCCCAUAUCUCUCCCUGGGUGUACCACUUAUCGGUGCCCCAACUCGUUCGAAUCCGACCAAAGGGUUAAAAUUAACCCCGAGGCUUUUCCCCGGAGUAGUUAUCUUUGCAAUUGUGCUGUAACCCUAGGAAUCUCGAGGACGAGAUUCUUUUUAAGGGCGGAAGGUUUGUAACAGCCCCAAAAUUGGGUUAUCAAUUUUUGAGUUGUUAUUCCUUCCUGGCACUCAUUUUCAAAAUUUUCUCCUGAGUUUGCUGGAUGACUCUGAGAAAUUUUUGCCAUUUCCAACCUUUCAAAACCUUGCUCAUGUCUUUUUCAGUGGGCAAGACCUCAUUUGCCUCAGCUCAAACCCUCUCAAACCCUAAUUCCAAAUUGUUGGAAUUUAAAGAUGGCCUUUGUGAUUACAAAGGAGCUAUCAUUUUCCUUGAUCUGUUGAUCAUCCCAUCUGUUCCCUGAGAACCUCCUAUCCUUGUAAACCUUGGAUAUGCAAAAAUAUUGCCAAGUCCCAUGCAAUAUUUUUGAAUUAUGAUUUAUUCCUUUUCUUGCCUUUCCGAGGGAUAAAAUUCAAAGGCAUAUCUAGCCAUCUCCAAGAUUCAUGAGAAUUGGUGGAGUUGAUAUUUAUGUCUAAUCCAAGCUAUGGCAAAGAUAUUGGCCAUAAUUAAAUAUGGAAAAAUGCCUUUUACUAUUUAAUACCAAUAUUGCAUUUCUGCCACUUCCUAAAGGAACUACUAUUUUUAUAGUAGGGAAAAUUCUCACAUAAAUUGUGGAGCUUGCCCUUGCUAUAUAAUCACAAGUUCCAUCCUUGUUCCAUGUUCCAUAGUUCAAAAUUUUGGCACAUGAUCCAAUGCAAGUUUCUGCCUUCUCUGAAAUUUUGCAAAGGAAGUGCUUUAUUCCUAAUUCCAAUUGAGCUGCAAUUUGGUAGGGUGAUUAACCUUCAUAAAUCACACAUGAAUACCAAAGAUGAGCUCAAUCCAUUCAUCUUAGCUCCCUAUGCCAUUUUCCAAAGUUUCUGACCAGAAUGUAACUUUGUGAAGGAAGUACCUUCAUAGAGUUUUCAAAUGGGAUGAAACUUUUUCAUCCUCUCAAGUAUUCCAAAUCAUUAGCCUCCACCUAAAUUCAGUUCAAUUCAUUGAACUAUGUGAACAUAGGAGCAAUUCUUGGUUUCUGUCCAAAUUUUCAGUUUGUGAAGCAAGUCUAUUUUAUCUUGCUCCAUUAUGGCUGAAAAUAUUCCUAAGCCUUCUCCUCUCCAUACAACCUAUCUCCAACCAAUUUUGGCUCAUUUCAUGUAGCCAGUAUUUUCCUGGAUUUUUCCAAAUUUCUGGUGAGAUCUGAUGCUUGUGAAACAAGUACCAAUUUGGCAAGUCCAUUUGGUAUGAUAUUUUUGCAGCAUCUACAUAUGACCAAAUAAGGAAGCUUUGCCAAGUUUUAGCCCAAUCCAUCACUCCUAGUGAGUGCUUCUUCAUCAUUUGCUUUCUGGGUCAGAUUUGGCAUUUGAACUGCAGCUAUGCUAAAUCCUUGCCCAAAUCCCUUCCAACUUUCCAGGACCGUAGUCCUUGCUAUACUAAACCUCCUAGACGACCAGUUUUGCCCUUAACCUUUCUGUGUUGAUCGCCAGGAUGUUGCCAAGUUUGCAACAGCAAACUUGUCGAGCCUGUUUCCCUCUGCUCACUACACCUUUGCUCGUUCCAUCACUUCAGUCUUAAUGAGCGUUGGAGGGACUACGCUGUAGACAUCAUUUGGCACCAAGUAGACGACCAGAUUAUGCGUUGUCGGUGGUGACCACGGGCAGUGCCAGCCAAAUCGGUGGUCUAGCCACUGCUGGCCACAGUAGUGCAUCUCCGGCUAGCUCUGGCUUGUCCAAGCUUGUCAACCAGCUCAGCCUCAUCGUCGCCGUGCGCCUUGGCCCGUUUCCCCCUUCGUUUGCUUCCUCGUUGAGCCAUCGCCGUCGCUGAGCACAGUGCACGCCCGUGCACCGUCGUCUUCCUCGUUCUUGUCCCCUUCUCCCUCUCAUCCGCGAGCGCCCCUCGUCUCCGUGAGCCCCUGCGCGUCGUCCGCAUCCCCCUCGUCGUGUCACCAUCGUUUCCCGUGGCCUUUGGCCGUGCAUGCAUGUCGCCGGCGCGCGGACACGUAGCCGUGCCGCGUGUCACCUCCUCCCCUCCCCUAGAGCACAUCCCCGCGGCUAUUUAAGCCCGUCCCGAGCUCCCUCGCAGUCCUCAAGCCUCCCCAAGCACUUCACUCGUCCCCGGAGUCGCUCUCCGAUCCCCACCAUCGCCAUGGCCGCAGUUUCAGGCUCUGCUCGAUCUCGGCAAUGCCGUGCCCCCCUCGCCGUUCCACCACCACCUAUGCGUUCCCCGAGGUCCGGCGCACCUCCCCGUAGCCUUGCCCACCUAGUUCCCCCACCGGAGCCCCCUGUUCGCUGGAGUCCGAAGACCACCUCUGCCGCGAGCCCUGCUGCUCCUUCUCCCGUGCUCCUCGCCGGCAACGGACACCACCACGGGAUGCGCCUCUUGCUCCUGAGCUCGUGGAUAGGUCGGCCGUCGUCUGAGGCGGCCGGAGCCGCCGGCAAUCGCAGUGGAGGCGGGCGUCUCCCUCGGCCAGGCGCGCGUACGCGCAGGAGGAAGAAGCCAGGCCAGGCGGGCCCCACCUUACGGGACCCACCUGUCGGUGAGAGGAAGGCGUGGCCCCGCUAAUCACGUCGAAUAAGUGGACGCGCCCGCCCGCGGAAGCCAUUUCCCUACUCUGGAAACGUAUUCCUCGUGAAUACGCUUUCCAAGUCAGAAAACGUAUUCCCUGGGCACUUCGGCUCAAAAUGCGUUUCCCUGUGCGGAAAACGUAUUCGGCCCAAAGGCACGUUCAGUUUUUCCUCCAGGGGCCUGUUUGCUGAAAAAAUUUCACCGAUAGGUCCUUGAGCUUCAACCCUCCGUAUCUUUUUACCCGUAGCUCCAAAUCAGGUGAUUUCAAAGCCCACGUCUUCGUUUCGUCGAGCCCGUUCUGAUGGAAUCAUUUUCACCAUGUUUGCACAUUCUAAAAGUGACCAUUUUUCCCUUUCCCGUAAACAGCCCCCUCCGAGAGAGAACUGUUUCCGACAAAUCUUUCCGCGAUCGUUCGCACUUUUUUCGGAGUAAUCCUCGACCCCAGGCAAGCCAACCUCUUAUCAUGAGCCCCAAACUCGCAUGUUGAAUUUGCUGGUACCUCGCGUGUGUGCUUAGUUGCAGUAGUUUUUGUCUGUUUCGUCUGCCGUUAUUUCAGUUGUGAUAUAUGUUAGUACUGCUUGCUUACCUCUCAUGAUAGCUUUUGCCAUGCUAGUUAUAUUGUUGUUGAUAAUAUCAUGCCUCUGUCUAGUUUAGUUCAUGCCAGUAGUCUUGAUGUUAUGAUGAUUUUGUUGCACCUUCAAUAAGCUAGUAUCUAGUAUUGUUAUGUUUCAUAUGCUAUAACUGUUCACUGGAGUAGCUUGAUAUUUGUUAAUGCAUUUGUUAGUUGCAUGUUCAUUGUUGCAUUCUUGUUUAAUAUGCUCAUAAUGUUGAUGAUGGUGGAGAAGUUAAUAAUAUGACUUAAUAACAAACCUCCUCCGCCAUCACUGGGAUAUCAUAGUGCCACCAAAUCGAGCUUUCUCCAGUGCAACCACAUUUACCUUGUCGGAAGGUCCUAGCUGGGUCUAUUGUCAUGCCUCUCGCCGGUGCCUCCCGCGAGGGAAGGUUAUGGGCACGCUUACCCUGAUCAGGCAGGUGGACAUAAGCCUUGUGUGCCCGGGUUUGGUUUUGAGCUCAUGUCCCCAUUUGGGACCGUUUUGCCACGACGGUGGCCGUUGGUACCUUUGGUAGGUACGGGGCCACCCAGGACCGAACCCUUAAUGGGUGUUGGUCGGAGUGGCCGGGAGGGCGUCAUGGCAGUAGAUCAGUUUUGUCGGAACGCUUUGGUCCGCACGUAUGUGAGCGCGAGACCAGGGUUCCGUAGUGUGGGUAAAGUGCGCUACCUCUGCAGAGUGUAUUCAAUCUAUCGAUAGCCGCAUCCUCGGUCAUGGGCACAGGUUCGUAGUAGGUCACACUAUCGGGUCUCGGUCGAAAUGGAGGAUAAAUCAGCUAAUAAAUUAUGUGAUAACUAAGAUGUGAUAACUAAUGUGAUGGCUUGGACUAUGAAAUAAUCAUGAGAAGUCACGAUGAUGUGUUGAUAUGACCCCGAAACGAGGUCUUGGUAAGUCACGAUUAUGCUCCAAGGAGCCGUGGCAGAGUAAGUGAUUGUGGCAUAAGGUUAUUACAACAUGUCUUCAUGGGAGGUAACUGGUAGUUUAUUUUCAGCAUAGUUUCAUGAUGCCAUGCCCCGUUUUGAUAUGCUAUGCUUUGCUGUUGUUAUGAUAGAAGUAAGUUUGAUAUGCCAUGAUAGUUGAUGCUAUGAUGUUGUUCAUGCCUAGUUUGAAUUAUGAUUCUAGUUAAUAUCAUGCCAUGCUUAGAAGUUGUGUUGAUGUAGACUGUUGCAUAUGCUUGGUUCUUGCUUUGUCUUCUGUUUGUUUGGAUGCUAUGUAUUUGGUUGUCUUGCAAGUACAUUCAAUGUACUGACCUGGCGUGUCAUGCCAGUUUUGUAGGUCGUUCGCUUGUUCCGUCGUGCUAGGUCGUAAUCAUGCCAGUCCUGUGCGUUAUGGAGCCCAGCCUUAAUAAGACGCUGCCAAACCAAGACUUCCGCCGCCAUUUAUAUGGACUUCCGCUGCCAUGUAAAUAGCCUUAGGGCUAUGCCAGAAAAUUGUAUUCAUCAAUGAUGUAAUCUUAUACACAUGUAUUUGAUGAAUAUUAUUGUACCUGGAAUGCUGUAUCAUGGACCUGUCGUGCGUCAGGCGUAAUCCUGGGCUGACGUGCGAAGGCCUCCUGCUCCAUGCGGAUCGGGGUGCCACACUGCAAAUUUAAGAUAGCCACACACACACUGUUAUUUUUUGUCCAGCCAACUAAAUAAAGAAGAGUAACUUCAACUAACCUCACAAAUAGAAAACUUGAACUAAGAUAAUGGAAACUGAUUGUGUCAUAUUACAUUCAGGUGUGCAUUUUGUUACACAAAGCUGCUGCAGACCAACAAAAAUCCCUGUGCAAGAAAUAUUGGUGAAAUCACCAUAUUUGAGCAUUUUAUACUACUAGUCAUUAACCCGUGCAUUCGCACGUGCUAAUGUUUAUCUUGUGUGGCAUUGUAGGUUUUCACCUCUUAACUUUCUACCUAGAAAUCUUUACCAGUAGUCUAUAGUUUUGUGCGAUGUUUGUUUCUACCUUUUAAUGAACCUUUUCAUCUAAAUUUGCAGUUCAACAUCGAACUCGCUACCUAUAGUACAAUACUCGAGCGAUAAAAAUAAAUAGUUCAAAAGUUUUGACAUGACGACUUUCAUUUUUAGAACAAUAUAUACCAGGAAAUAACUAAAUUUUUUUAGGGUGAGGAAAUAACUAAAUUGAUUUUCUUGUAAAACUUAAACUAUGGCCUGCUAUCUUACUAAUAGUAACAUUGUAAUUGUUCUCACUGUUCACAUUACAUUCAAUUUCUAUAUGAUUUAGAUAAAAAUAAGCUAAACAUCUCCCACAAAAAGGUAACCAUAUUUUAAUAUAUAAUGAAGGGAAUUAUAAUGUUUUGUCUGCCGCUUGAGCAUACAGUUCUUUCUUUGUUAGGAAAAAAAAAUUGAUCCAGAGUCUAAAAUAGAUGCCCUACAGUAUAAGAAAUAAGGUUGGGGUUUGAAACAUAUUGGGUUCUAUAUAGAUCAGUCCAAAGGAACUGACUUGACUCAUCCUCAUAUCUCGACAAACUGUUCUCAAAUGGGGUAUAUCGAAGCAUGUACAUUAGUAGAUUAAAGUAUGGUUUGAAUAAGCAUGGAAAAACAUUAACACUGCUAUGUAGUGAACGCUCCACAAAAGUUUCAAGCGCACCAUACCUUGCAUUGCAUUGAUGCGUUCGCAAGAAUUAAAGCAUUGCUCUGGUUCCCUGCAAGAGCAUGUCUUUGACAGCAAGCUAGAGGCCAACACCUGUAACUACACUGGAUUAAUCGUACUCAGCCCUUCCUUUAAACUAGCUGCAAGUGUUUCCUUCCCACCCACGUGUGCAUCGCACUCGAUCGUACUCACCUCCGGUACAACGGACGCCCUUUCCCCUCUAGGCGAAUUGCUUCCAGCAGACGAACAUGCCACCAGUGAAAAUAUUCUGAAAGAUAUAGCCAUCUCGUCUCUCCGAUUAACACCCCACGCAGAUCAUUACCUGAAAGAUAUAGCCAUCUCGUCGGUUAUGUUUCCUAGGGGACUAAUGAAAGAUGACAAGCUGCAUAAAAAAUAAUCAUACAUUGAAAUUAAUUAAUUAGAAGGGAAAACGGUGUGAGCUGUACAUAUAAUGAACAUUGUUGUAUGUAAUGAGAUGCAUAGACAUGAACGAUGCAUAAGAACCAUGUUUCGCAUUGUCGCGAUUUCAAUCAGAGUCAUACAUGGUGGCAGUACUACGAGACAGGGAUAGAGGUACACAAGUAAGCGCUCAGUGUUAUGCAGUCUCAGAGACAGGAAGGAAAAGGGAGGGGACAAACUGUCAUGUUAGGCAUCCUCUGAUUAACAAGUGCAGCGACAUUGAUGUCGUUGCUGGGAUGUGGAUCAAGAUGAGUAAUCAAGGUAGCGUCGAUUGUCGUCAGAUUGGGCGGCAAAGAAUUCGCCAUGACCUGCCACAGAAAGAACCAAAUAGUGUAAGAGAAGAGCGGGUCAGAGGAGGAGAGUCUUGCUGAAUCGUCAGCGGCGUCGGAGUCAAGAUUGCUGAGGCGGAUCAGCACCACCAUGGCCGAGCUUGGAGCGGCGCGUGCAGAGACGUAGCGCGGGGCUGUAGGGUGACAAAGCGGAUGAGGCGCGGCCGCUGGCGACCUAUGGUAACUAGGGUUGCUGUGGCCCGCAUGUAGGGGCGCGGAGGAAGUCGCCAUGGCGGGGGAUCAAGGGGAGGGCAGUGAGGAGUAGCCGUUUCUGUGAGCGGCGGCGCAACAAGCGCCGGAGCAAGCCAGAAUCAGAGGUGGCGGCGGCGGCAACGUUGUGGUCACGGAGAGAAGAGAUUUGCUUGGCGGCGUGCUUCUUGGACGGAGGAGGUUGAGAUAAUGUGGAGAUUUUUUUCUGUGGAUACUGUGAAGGUGGGUACGGGGAGGUUAGCAAAUCAUGGGAGGUGGG
rnacentral:lncRNA from 1 species